AAACCUGUGGACGCCGACCCGGGACCGCCGCUGGCUGGCUGCUGGCUCACUCGACCGUCAUGGAGACCCUGGGGGCCCUUCUGGUGCUGGAGUUUCUGCUCCUCUCCCCGGUGGAGGCCCAGCAGGGGUGGUGGGGGAAGGGGGUCUUCUGACCUUUUCUUCCUCUGAGUCGAACCUCCCCAACUUCCUGCAGCCACGGAGCAUCGCCUGAAGCCGUGGCUGGUGGGCCUGGCUGCGGUAGUCGGCUUCCUGUUCAUCGUCUAUUUGGUCUUGCUGGCCAACCGCCUCUGGUGUUCCAAGGCC
rnacentral:lncRNA from 1 species